GGGAAUCGCGGUAGUAACGCAGCGAUCCACAUUCACAUAGCUGCCUCGUCCGCUGCACGUUGGAAAGAGGUCACUGUGGCAUCUUGAACUUUCAUAUUCAGGUCACGAAGCAGAACACAACGAAUAAAGUGUCAGCAGAAACGCAGUAAGACAGUCGCCACACAAAGGAUAAAAAUGGAAAUUAAUAGUCCUGUGGCUAAUGGAAUACCAGACAAUUUUGAAACAAUUACAGCCAGAGAGGUUAAGGAGUACAGAAUAGCUUAUGGUCAUUAUCUUCCACCAACACAAAUCCUGCGCCUCCUGGAGCCACGCGCUUAUUUUGCAGCAAGGUUUAAUUUGGGAGCUUGAGGAGCUGCUGAAGGACAGGGGCUCCAAAUAUCAUUGUAAUGAUAACAGCUUCUGUGCAAAGGAUUUGGGUGUGGAAGCUGAACAAAUGAGACUUUCAGAAAAAGAAUUUGAUUUACACAUAAUCAAGCAGUUGUUUUUACAACAGCAAAAAGGAAACAAUUUUGUUUCUGACAGGCAGUCACAUACAUCUAGCACCCUAGAACCCACAAGUUCUUCUGUAUCUGACGUUCGGGAGACAGAUUCAGCCCCAACUUUCAUAAACUUUAACUGUCAGCAAAACAAUCAGUCUGCACACCCCUAUUCAACAGGAGGGGUAGAGAGUUGUGAUGAAAUCACAGAGCAUGGGGAAGAACAGCGUACUGUUGUUCAGAGUGAUGCCUACUCACACAGUCUGGAAUGUCGGAAAGAAUCAUCACAGGAAUGCAUACAACAGGCUAGCAUCUCAGGUUUUCAUAAUAGGUGUAAUGAAUAUAUUUACAACAAAAAGACAGAUGAAGGUACAGAGGUUUCCAGAUCCUUGAAUGAAUAUACUGACCAGUUACAACAGGAUUGUGCUGUAAAUGCAGAAGAAUGUAAUGAGCAACAGAACUUUAAAAACAGUAUAGAGAAGGGCCAGUUAAUAUCAUUGGUCAAAGAUGACAACAAUGGAUCAUCUACCACUUCUGAGUUCUCAGAAGAUUCUACAAGAACAGAUGUUUCAUUUUUAAUCCAGGAGAUUUAUGAGGAACCCAUUCUACAACUCAGUGCUCCACCUUAUAAUAUGCUACAGCAUUCAACAUAAACAUUUUGAUCAUAAUGGUGAAUUAAAAGACUCUAAUAAGUUUUCAAAUAUUACUGAAAUGAUUUAUUCCAUGUGUGUUUCAGUGAAUAGAAAGGUGAUGCUGAUUGCAGAAUUCAGUAAACAGUAUGAUAAACUGUACUGUUUUUAUCACUUACAUUAAUGUAUAAGUUCCUUAAACUUUUGGUAAAAAUAAUUCCAAAACCCAAUAAACUCCAAAAUGCAAUAAAUUACAGUUUGUGAAAAAUAAAGUUAGUAAAUUGUUAAUAUUUGGGCCUUGAUAUUUAAUGACUGCACUUAGACUUACGUCCUUUAUGUGAUUUCUACUGAUUUCAGUGUUGGAUGCAAAAACUAAUUUGGCAAACAGCUUU